AGCGUUGUUCGGAAUUACUGGGCGUAAAGCGCGCGUAGGCGGUUUUUUAAGUCAGAGGUGAAAGCCCGGGGCUCAACCCCGGAAUAGCCUUUGAAACUGGAGUGCUAGAAUCACGGAGAGGUGGGUGGAAUUCCGAGUGUAG
rnacentral:rRNA from 1 species